CUCCUUUGAUCUAUUGUCACGAGCCUUUCGCUGGAAUUUGCUCCAAAAGAGACAUUUUUAUUUGCUUUUGUUUCCCUUUAAAUAAGGUUAUAGCAUUUUUUUGGGUCCCCUAAAUGAAGACCAGAAGCCCCCACACAAGAUGAAGGAAAGAAAAGGGGUGAUCUCUAGCAAGCCCUUCCCCUGAUGCUUUGGAGAGACAUUGGGACCGAACCACCAUUUGCACACAAGACUAGAAAUUAGUAGUUGUGGAUAACGAUUUGCAAGCAGAACUGGGCCUUGUCACCCCUGCCUCCCACUCUGAAAAGGGCCGAGCAGUGUCUUCCUGUGCAGACCCAAGAAGGCCUCAGGGAGGUGAUGUGUGUCUGCUGUCACCAGAAAGUCUAUUUGAAUGGGGAGAAUCCUUCAUCUUUUGAAGAGGAUGGUAUCCCCUCUCCUCCUCGGUUCCUUUUUGAUCCAUGCACUGAGAAUGUCCUAGAGGCUCUAGGUGUGGCUAUGGUUGAGAAAAAGGAUGUGGAACUGAAUUUCUCAGUAGAUCUUGCAUGUACAGACUCUGCGGCAACCUGGGCAUCUCUGGCGUGGAAUGGGACAGGCUCGGAUGCGUUGAUUUGUAUCUAGAUUUCUGAGCACAAAUACAUUCCGCUGAACAUUUUGGGGUUAAUGAUGACAGAAGCCGAGAAA